rnacentral:lncRNA from 1 species
CGAACAGAAAGGAUCAAAACAGAGUAAUCAAAUUUACCUAACACUAAUAGAAGUAGUGCUGAAUAAAAGAGAACGAAAUCCGUACCUCGAAAAUAGCAAACUCAAAGACUAACGAACCUCGCAAGGGACCAACUAAACUCCCGAACCCCGACUUUAACUUAAACUCCAAUUAUCUCCAUGAUUGCAAUCUGCCCAGACCAAUAAUAUACUGUUUUGACCCUCUAAACGAUGUUUGACUAGAUUGAAGUUGGAAACAACUUGUAGCUUCUGUAACACCCCCAUCUUAAAUUAAGACGAGAGGUUACCUACAAAUCCAAAAUCUGCAAACAGAGUACUAAUAUGUUCCAAACUUGAGUAAAUAGAAUCACUAACCAUAAAUUCUUAAUAACACUAAAAGUCCAUCAUCCUAGUUCAAUUUUAAAUCCUAAUUAUAAUCCAAUUUUAAUCCCCUUUUUAUUAAUACUAAUCUAUUAAUGUUAUUCUAAAAAUUACUGGAUAUUACAUUCUACCCUCCUUAAAAAGAAUUUGGUCCCCAAAUUCUCUCAAAUCUACUCUCCAAACCCACUUAAAUCAAGACAUAUAACUAAUUAAUUAAAACUACGUAUAUUUUAUGAUAUUCAGAGCAGGCUCUCGAAAGCUUGAUUCGUCAAGUUGCCGGAGGUGGGGACACGAAGGCUGGUGGUAUUAUCCCGCAAUGGACAGAGAUCCGGAGGCGGGGACACGAAGCCAGCUGGUAUUAUCCCACAAUGGCUAGAGAGGUUCGAUCUGGGCCUAUGGGCUAUCCGUUUCGGCCUGACGAGGACGUCAGGAAUUUAAGUGGGGGAGUUUGUAACACCCCAGUCCCACAUCGAGGAGUGUGGAGACUUUAGUUCAGUUUAUAAGCAUAAGUACUACUACUAAUUGCACCAACAAAUCAUGAUCUUUUGGGGGCCUGUGGUGGGCUUGUGGAUUACCCAAGUUGUUGCAAUUGGGCCAGUAUAUUUGGGCUUAUUUUCGGAUUCGAAAUUUGGGACUUGACCCGAUUUUCGAAAAAGACUCGGGAUUUGACCCGGGUUCCCCAUCUUAAAUUAAGACGAGAGGUUACAUACAAAUCCAAAAUCUGCAAACAGAGUACUAAUAAUUUCUUGAAUGAUUUAAAUCCUCGAAACACUAAUGGUCCAUACGUCUUAGUCACUGUAACUGAGGGUAGCUCUCGAUCACACAGUCCCGAAUCCCCCUAAGUACCUGCCAGAAGAAGAAUACGGCAUGAGCCAAAUGCCCAGUACGGAUUGGAAGCAUUUACAAAACAAGAAACAUUUAAAAAUAUUUUGACCAUCUUAUAAAACAAUAAUUUUUAAAAUAAAUAGGCUGAUGCAACGAGGGUUAGGAUAUUUCAUACCGAGAUCAAAACAUAUACAAAUACACACAUCAUAGGGUACCUAAUGCGUGCAACAAACCGGAUAACGUGUACGGCAUAUACUACGUCACCGUCAAAUCACAAAUCAUAUCAACUGAACUGGAUGCAUCCACGUAUCCUGAACAAAUAAUCAAAAUGGCCAAAGCUCCUCCCAAGAGCUAACAGAAGGAUACGCCGUGACCAAUCACACUGUCACGGAAGUGUCAUGCCAAUGGUGCCGCAAAGACAUGGCUGUAGUACCCCUACAGCUGGGUAACUCGGUAUACCCUAUAUCUCUAAGGGUUCACAUAAAUAAAAUAGUUUUCACAAUUUAAAAAUCAUUCGAUACAGAUAUUUCAAAUAAGCCGAACAAAUCAUAAUUUGUAUAAUCUUUGAAAAUCGGAGGACAAAUAUUUGAAUAUCUCAAAACAGAUUUUAAAAUAAUUUUUGGAAGUCAUGAAAAGAGUCCAAAACAGUUUAGCACGAAUAGCGAUGAAUAAAAAGGACAAAAUCCGUACGAAUCAAAAAUAGUUUAUUUCCAAGAGGAAUAGCUGAAUUAAGUCGGAACGGAAGUAAAACAGAUUCUUUUAUAAUUUGGAAUACAACUGAAAAAAAAAUUUUGAAAUAGAUUGUGAGAUAAUUUUCAGAAAUCAAAUCAGUCAAACAAAAAUUCGCGGAAGGAACAGAGUAAAGAUGAAACGAAUAUAACAAGUUGUAACAUGAAUAUCGCUGAAUUAAACAGGGUCGAAUCCGUACAAACACACCGAACAGAAAGGAUCAAAACAGAGUAAUCAAAUUUACCUAACACUAAUAGAAGUAGUGCUGAAUAAAAGAGAACGAAAUCCGUACCUCGAAAAUAGCAAACUCAAAGACUAACGAACCUCGCAAGGGACCAACUAAACUCCCGAACCCCGACUUUAACUUAAACUCCAAUUAUCUCCAUGAUUGCAAUCUGCCCAGACCAAUAAUAUACUGUUUUGACCCUCUAAACGAUGUUCUCUGGAAAAACUCAAAACACGAAAGUCGUAGAGAACGAAAAGACCUUUCUGAAAAGGUAAGGCUCAUCGAAAUCGGAGUUAUAACGAAUUGGGAAUUAAAUAAAACGUCCGCUGAUUCAGAACUCAAAGAAUAAGCAGGAUCUGAUUAAGUUUUGUAAUUUUGAGAACAGUUCGAACAUAAUCUGAGAAAACAUUGUGAACGAAAGUUGUAGGAGAUUGAAAGAGCUUUCCGAAACAUCAAGAAUCGUCGAAAUCCGAUAAGAAUUGAAUUUACUACGAAAUUUACAAGACAGCUGAUUUAUGAGAAUAAAGUCCUGCGAAUUUUUGUAAUAAAAACGAAUAGAAGGUUGGGUGGCUCUCAAAAGUGUAUAUAAAAGAAUGGAGGAAUACAAUCAAUAUAUAGAGUCUUGAAACC